GCCAGAUCCUCAUCUGGAGUAAAUAGAAAUAGUUUCAAAGUCAUUCUGUCGAAGUGUGAAGCUCUGAAGAGCAAUAUUGACCUGCAGCAAAGUUUCUGGAAGAUAAAUUAAGUCUGCUGUUAUAGUCCUGCAGCAUAUUGUUUCCAGAUGGUGGUCUUCUAAUAAAGGAGAGUCUGGAGACUGAAUGACACAGGGAUUGCUGUUGGAUCGUGCAGUCUAUCACCUCCAUGGCACUGGGCCUAUCCAUCUUUCUAGGGGCUGCUGGUUUGUGCGUGAGCACAAAUCCAAACCAAACUUCCAAAGUGAGUAAUUCAGAUGCCUUGUGUCCUCUGGUCCCAAAUUUCUUCCCUUACUUGGGGGCAUCAGUGUCUUGCCACUGUCUACGUCAUCAUGCUUUUUGUGAUUACCGUCAACAUUCCGAAGAUCUGAAGAGCUUCCUCAUUGUUCUUAUUUUUAAUGUCGGGGAGAGGACAGCUGCUCCUGACCCACCCUCCAGAAUAAUGGGAAAUGUUGCCUGUGAUGGUGUAUAUGGCACCAGAAGUUCUGACAUAGCUACUUUACCAAGGGUUUGCACAUCAGGUAAAAUUUCAGAAGAAAUUAAUGGAAGAGCUGCUAGUGACUAAAAUCGAAUCAGUAUUUCACCUCCACAUGACAUGGUUUGCUUCCUUCCAGCUAGCAUUAAAUAGCAAGCAGCAAAUAAAGACACAUUGCAGUGGAACCA
rnacentral:lncRNA from 1 species